rnacentral:rRNA from 1 species
CAGCAGCCACGGUAAUACGAAGGGGGCUAGCGUUGUUCGGAAUUACUGGGCGUAAAGCGCACGUAGGCGGAUAUUUAAGUCAGGGGUGAAAUCCCGCAGCUCAACUGCGGAACUGCCUUUGAUACUGGGUAUCUUGAGUAUGGAAGAGGUUAGUGGGAUUGCGAGUGUAGAGGUGAAAUUCGUAGAUAUUCGCAGGAACACCAGUGGCGAAGGCGGCUAACUGGUCCAUAACUGACGCUGAGGUGCGAAAGCGUGGGGAGCAAACAGGAUUAGAUACCCCUGUAGUCCCUGUCUCUUAUAC